rnacentral:rRNA from 1 species
GGUGAACGCUAGCUACAGGCUUAACACAUGCAAGUCGAGGGGUAGCAGGGUAGCAAUACCGCUGACGACCGGCGCACGGGUGAGUAACACGUAUCCAACCUUCCCAUAACUCGGGGAUAGCCUUUCGAAAGAAAGAUUAAUACCCGAUAGUACUUUUUCAAGGCAUCUUGAAAAAGUUAAAGAUUUAUUGGUUAUAGAUGGGGAUGCGUUCCAUUAGAUAGUUGGUGAGGUAACGGCUCACCAAGUCUUCGAUGGAUAGGGGUUCUGAGAGGAAGGUCCCCCACAUUGGUACUGGGACACGGACCAAACUCCUACGGGAGGCAGCAGUGAGGAAUAUUGGUCAAUGGGCGAGAGCCUGAACCAGCCAAGUAGCGUGAAGGAUGAAGGUCCUAUGGAUUGUAAACUUCUUUUAUAGUAGAAUAAAGUGAGCCACGUGUGGUUUUUUGUAUGUAUACUAUGAAUAAGGAUCGGCUAACUCCGUGCCAGCAGCCGCCGUAA